rnacentral:tRNA from 1 species
GGGCGAUUAGCUCAGUUGGCUAGAGCGCCUGCUUUACACGCAGGAAGUCGCAGGUUCAAGUCCUGCAUCGCCCACCA